GACGAACGCUGGCGGCGUGCUUAACACAUGCAAGUCGAACGGAAAGGCCCUGCUUGCAUGGUACUCGAGUGGCGAACGGGUGAGUAACACGUGGGUGAUCUGCCCUGCACUUCGUGAUAAGCUUGGGAAACUGGGUCUAAUACCGGAUAGGAACCAUCUUUAGUGUGGUGGUUGGAAAGUUUUUUCGGUGUAGGAUGAGCUCGCGGCCUAUCAGCUUGUUGGCGGGGUAAUGGCCUACCAAGGCGGCGACGGGUAGCCGGCCUGAGAGGGUGUACGGCCACAUUGGGACUGAGAUACAGGCCAGACUCCUACGGGAGGCAGCAGUGGGGAAUAUUGCACAAUGGGCGACAGCCUGAUGCAGCGACGCCGCGUGGGGGAUGAAGGCCUUCGGGUUGUAAACUCCUUUCGCUAGGGACGAAGCUUUGUUGUGACGGUACCUAGAUAAGAAGCACCGGCUAACUACGUG
rnacentral:rRNA from 1 species